AACGCGUAUGCAAUCUACCUUUUACAGAGGGAUAGCCCAGAGAAAUUUGGAUUAAUACCUCAUAGUAUAAUGACUCGGCAUCGAGAUAUUAUUAAAGUCACAACGGUAAAAGAUGAGCAUGCGUCCCAUUAGCUAGUUGGUAAGGUAACGGCUUACCAAGGCUACGAUGGGUAGGGGUCCUGAGAGGGAGAUCCCCCACACUGGUACUGAGACACGGACCAGACUCCUACGGGAGGCAGCAGUGAGGAAUAUUGGACAAUGGGCGCAAGCCUGAUCCAGCCAUGCCGCGUGCAGGAUGACGGUCCUAUGGAUUGUAAACUGCUUUUAUACGAGAAGAAACACUGCUUCGUGAAGCAGCUUGACGGUAUCGUAAGAAUAAGGAUCGGCUAACUCCGUGCCAGCAGCCGCGGUAAUACGGAGGAUCCAAGCGUUAUCCGGAAUCAUUGGGUUUAAAGGGUCCGUAGGCGGUUUAGUAAGUCAGUGGUGAAAGCCCAUCGCUCAACGGUGGAACGGCCAUUGAUACUGCUGAACUUGAAUUAUUAGGAAGUAACUAGAAUAUGUAGUGUAGCGGUGAAAUGCUUAGAGAUUACAUGGAAUACCAAUUGCGAAGGCAGGUUACUACUAAUGGAUUGACGCUGAUGGACGAAAGCGUGGGUAGCGAACAGGAUUAGAUACCCUGGUAGUCCACGCCGUAAACGAUGGAUACUAGCUGUUGG
rnacentral:rRNA from 2 species